AGGGUUUGAUUCUGGCUCAGGAUGAACGCUGGCGGCGUGCUUAACACAUGCAAGUCGAACGAAGCACUUUACCACGAUUCCUUCGGGAUGACGGUUUAGUGACUGAGUGGCGGACGGGUGAGUAACGCGUGGGGAACCUGCCCCAUACCGGGGGAUAACAGCCGGAAACGGCUGCUAAUACCGCAUAAGCGCACAGUACCGCAUGGUACGGUGUGAAAAACUCCGGUGGUAUGGGAUGGACCCGCGUCUGAUUAGCCAGUUGGCGGGGUAACGGCCCACCAAAGCGACGAUCAGUAGCCGGCCUGAGAGGGCGACCGGCCACAUUGGGACUGAGACACGGCCCAG
rnacentral:rRNA from 1 species